UGAAUCAAUGCCUUAAAUAAUAAUAAAUAUCAUUUCAUGAGUUAAAAAAUUAUAAAAAAAGUCCCAUCGCAAUACACUUGCGAUUGGCUUAUAGGACACUUUUCUUUCACUUUACACCUAUUCAUGUUGAACCCAUUUCAACAUAAAUUUUAUGUACCUAGACUAGGACAAGCCCUACAUCCACUAACAUCUAUCCCUAUAGAUGCCAAAAAUUGGAUGCUUAACCCAAAUCUAUCUGUGAUAAGCAAGCCAUUGACCGAGUACAAUAUUGGGACUACCUUCCCAAUAAGCUGUAUGUCCCCCAC
rnacentral:lncRNA from 1 species